rnacentral:rRNA from 1 species
AUGGACGCUGGCGGCGUGCCUAAUCCCUGCAAGUCGAGCGAACAGACGAGGAGCUUGCUCCUCUGACGUUAGCGGCGGACGGGUGAGUAACACGUGGAUAACCUACCUAUAAGACUGGGAUAACUUCGGGAAACCGGAGCUAAUACCGGAUAAUAUAUUGAACCGCAUGGUUCAAUAGUGAAAGACGGUUUUGCUGUCACUUAUAGAUGGAUCCGCGCCGCAUUAGCUAGUUGGUAAGGUAACGGCUUACCAAGGCGACGAUGCGUAGCCGACCUGAGAGGGUGAUCGGCCACACUGGAACUGAGACACGGUCCAGACUCCUACGGGAGGCAGCAGUAGGGAAUCUUCCGCAAUGGGCGAAAGCCUGACGGAGCAACGCCGCGUGAGUGAUGAAGGUCUUCGGAUCGUAAAACUCUGUUAUUAGGGAAGAACAAAUGUGUAAGUAACUAUGCACGUCUUGACGGUACCUAAUCAGAAAGCCACGGCUAACUACGUG